UACAGAGGGGGCAAGCGUUGUUCGGAAUUACUGGGCUUAAAGAGUUCGUAGGCGGCAUGAAAAGUAGGGUGUGAAAGCCCUCGGCUCAACCGAGGAAUUGCGCUCUAAACUGUCGUGCUCGAGGAAUCUAGAGGUGAGCGGAACUGAUGGUGGAGCGGUGAAAUGCGUUGAUAUCAUCAGGAACACCGGAGGCGAAGGCGGCUCACUGGGGAUUUUCUGACGCUGAGGAACGAAAGCCAGGGGAGCGAACGGG
rnacentral:rRNA from 1 species